AGCUGCUCGGCUUCGAGCCAAUCGGGAGCCCCUCACGAAUUCGACAUGGCGGCCGCCCAUAGUGCGUUAGUCGAGAGCUGUGGCAAUUAUUUAUCCGUGGACACGCACGGUCGACGCGCAAUUACACGGUUUUAGGCAGACGAGCCGACGACCGAUCAAGUUUUCUCGCCCCGGGACAUGUUGCCGCCACUCGUGUGACAAUGUUUCGCAACAAGGGAUGGUUUUCGGGGGGCCUUUGGAAGCCCAAAAACCCACAUUCGCUGGAACAUCUCAAGUACCUGUACCACCUGCUUUCCAAGAACCAGACGGUGACGGAGCAGAACAAGGGGGUCCUGGUCGAGACUCUGCGCUCCAUCGCCGAAAUCCUCAUCUGGGGCGACCAGAAUGACAGCACCGUCUUCGACUUCUUCCUGGAGAAGAACAUGCUUUCCUUCUUUCUCAAGAUCAUGAAGCAAAAGUGCGGACGCUACGUAUGCAUCCAGCUGCUGCAGACUCUCAACAUCCUCUUCGAGAACAUCCGCAACGAGACCUCCCUCUACUACCUGCUGUCCAAUAACCACGUCAACUCCAUCAUCGUCCACAAGUUCGACUUUUCGGAUGAGGAGGUGAUGGCCUACUACAUUUCUUUCCUCAAGACCCUCUCGCUCAAGCUCAACAACCACACCAUUCACUUCUUCUACAACGAGUUUGAAGGAGCUUUCGGCGCUCUGCAGCACACCAACGACUUCCCGCUCUACACGGAGGCCAUCAAGUUCUUCAACCACACCGAGAGUAUGGUUCGCAUCGCCGUGCGUACCCUCACGCUAAAUGUCUUCAAAGAAGCAAACAACAGGAAACCGGCCGAAGCCACCGCUCGAUCCAAACGUAGGGCCAAAAAUGGAUGUGUGGAGGACAAGGCGAUGCUCAAGUUCAUCCGGGACCGGACGGCAGCGCCUUACUUCUCCAACCUGGUCUACUUCAUCGGGAAGCAUGUCAUCGAACUGGACACCUGCGUCAUUAACGCCGAGCACGGGAGCAGCACACGGCUGGCGGACCUGGUGGCGGAGCACUUGGACCACCUGCACUACGUCAACGACAUCCUCUGCCUGCACAUCGAGGCCCUGAAUGCGGUGCUCACGGACCAUCUGCUGCAUCGGCUGCUGGUGCCCCUCUACGUCUACUCCCUGGUCCAGGGACCCCACCCGUGUCUGCCUGAGGAUAGGAAGCGGGUCAGCAGCGUGGUGUCGCUGUUCCUCUUGUCACAAGUGUUCCUGAUCGUGUCCCACCAGCCGCUGGUUCGCCAGCUGGCCAACAUCAUCCUCAACCGGGACAUGAAGGUCUUCGCAGCCAGGUCCAAGGACGACUCCGGGUCUAACAAGAGCGACCUUGGCAGCGAACCAGAGUUCCUCCCGCCGGAAGAAAGCCUCGAGAAGUCCCUGGAGACGAGCUCGCGUGCCCCGGCAUUGGCGUCGCAUCUUGAGGAGCAGGGCUGCCGGGGUGAGGGCAGCAGCGAGAGCGGGUUGUGCCCCGCCUACUCCCAGGCCGGCCCCGCCCCCCAGCCCCUGCACCCCGAGGAAGGGGAUCACCCGUCACCCACUCUGGCACCCUCCGCCGACUGUGAGUUCGAAGGCGAGGCGAACCCAGCAUACCUGCCGGAUGGCCUGAACAUCACGGACGAGCAGAAGGCCCAGGCGGUGCACCACCGGCUGAACCAGGUGGCGCUGGAACAGCUGAGCCAAGGAUGGCACCUCUGCGACAGGCCUUUCCUGGGUGCCAUACUACAUGCCCUGGAUUGCUCUGAAAACGACCACCCAGCACUCUUUGCAUUAUGCCUCUUGUACGCCUUGGGACACAACCCAGGAAUCAACGAGGAGCUCUUGGACACGGUCCUAACCCCGUCCGUGCGACCGGAGACGAGGCACUGGUACAACGUUGCUCUAAUGGAGAAGCUUAUCCAGAUCAUCAGCCUCAGCUGCAAAUACGGGAGCAAGGUGCGCCUAGCAACCCUGGAGAUGUCGAUCCUCCUGCUGAAGCAGCUGGUGACGCUGGACGGCGGGGAGUCGUGCCUGCAGGACGUGCACUUGGCCGGUCUGGAGCAGGCUCGGGAAGAGAGCAGCCUCCUGCUCAGGAACUUCUACAAGAGUGAAGAGAUCUUUCUGGACAUGUUUGAGGACGAGUUUCAGGAGAUGAAGAAGAAGCCCCUGAAUGUAGAGUACCUGAUGAUGGACGCCAACCUCCUGCUGCCCCCCAUGGGUACCCCCAUGACGGGCAUCGAGUUCCACAAGCGGCUGCCCUGUGGGGAGGUGGAGAGGGCACGCAGGGCCAUCCGUGUCUUCCUGCUCCUGAGGGAGCUCUCCCUGGCCCUGACCAAUGAGAAGGAGACUCAGCUUCCCCUCACCAACCUGGCCAGCUGCGUCAAGGUGGACGACGUCCUUGACCUAAACAACAGUGACCUGAUUGCCUGCACGGUGGUGGUGAGCAAGGAGUCCCAGAAAAUUCGCCGCUUCAUGGUGAUUGACGUGGCGCAGCUGGUCCUCGUGGAGCCGGACUCCAAGCGGCUGGGCUGGGGAGUGGCCAAGUUCGUCGGGUUUCUGCAGGACAUAGAGGUGACGGGCGACAAGGAAGACAGCCGGUGCCUGCACAUAACGGUGCACGGCCGCGGCGCCACGGGUGGCUCCGUGGCAAGCGGCGCCGCGGGUCGCGGCGUACCACUGCUGGCGGCGCGGUUCUUGUUCGACGACCACAUCCGGUGCAUGGCGGCCAAGCAGCGGCUGAACAAGGGCCGGUUGAGGGCGCGCCAGCGCAAGAUGCACCACAUCGCCAGGCUGCUGGACAUGCCCCUGCCGCAGACCUGCCCGCCGGCAUCGCCGCUGAGGCACCACCAUGCUCACCUGGCGGUGGGCAGGGCACCCUCUACAGUGUCCGCGGCAAGCGGCACCACGGCGGGCUUGAUGCACCGGAGCCAGUCUCAGGACACUGGCCUCCGUGGACGCAAGGCGGCGGUGGCAGCAGCGGGAGGUGGCUGCCCCGCGGCACCGCACCAGCCGUACCGGCCCCUCUUCACCACUUCGACCAAGCUGCCGGGAUUCGCGGAAGCCCGCACGGGACAUCGGGGAAGUGCGGGGGACAUCGAGGAACGCAGGCGGAGUCCCUCCCCCCAGGCGUUCCGGAAGCAGCCCUGUGGGGGGGCGCAACCGCUCGGCGUCUCGGUCGAGAGAGUCGUCCCCCCGCCUUAGCCACCGGCCGAGGGACCAGUCGGAGGAGAUUCCCCUGGAGGACCUCUCGCGGCGGGGCGCCGGAUGCCAGGUGGCCCCCUCCCCGUGCGGGCAGGAGAUGCUGGUGACUCAGGGCUGCGGAGAGAGUCCCCACGGUAGCCCCCUCCGACUGGUUACAUCUCGCUCCGAGACCUCGAGUCCGAUGGACCAGCAGUCUGCGACCCCCGAGUGUCCGGCGGGCGAUGCCA
rnacentral:misc_RNA from 1 species